CUAACCCACUCUCUGAAAGUACUGCAGAGGAGCCCCAUGUCUUCCAAACGAAGGAAUCUUUCUUAGUAAUUCCAAGUAUUACUUUGAGUUGCUGCACUGCAGAUGUUAUCACUAACAGUAUUCUUGUUACUUUUUCUCUGAGUGAAAAACUUCCUUUUAAUAUCUAACCUAAACUUCCCCGUCUUAGUUUAAAACCAUUACCCCUUGUCCUAUCACUAUCUACCCU
rnacentral:lncRNA from 1 species